ensembl:lncRNA
GGGAUGGGCAAGACCCUGCUAGAAACACCACAUGCUGCCUUCUCUCUGCCCUUUCCUCUCACUCGGGUCAGAAUUUCCAUCAUUAGACUCCUUAAUGUACUGGGGGUUGGGAUGACACUGGAAAAUGGUCAUGAGCCAGAAGAGCCCAUCUAGAGUUUGGUGGGGGAACCAGAGAGAGUGUGGCUGUUAAAAAUGCCAUGAAAUGCUCUGCUCUCUUCUCUUUUCCUUGCUGUCCGCGGGGCUGGAGCAGUGCAGGCCCUGUGGGACUCCCCUCUCCUUCCAAAGGGCGAGCCGGUCGCGGAGAGGCGCCGGACUUGCUGCUGCCGAUGUGGAAACAGGGGCAGCUGCAGCCGGGGUGGCUCCAGGCAGGGCGGCCCGCCGACUCUGCCCAGAGGGGCCUGAGUGGGCCCGCACCCCAGGCCCCGACCCCGGCAGUAGACAGCCCGAGUUACCCCCCAACCCCAGGGGCCCCAUGCCUCCCAUCUCCAGCAGCUUCCGCCAAGAGGAAGGGGCCAGGCAGGGCUGCCGCCCAAGGCUGAGCAGGUGGUCCAGAGGGUCCGAGGUCCAGGGAUGGGAGCUCUGGUCUCAGCUCUGUCCUUUGUUCUCUGAGUGCCUCUGGCCAUCCCUGACCCACCCCAGGCCUUGGUUUUCCUUUUUCACGUGAGGUGAUCAUGGUACUCAGAGUCUAAAAUCCCUCACCCAUUUCAGCCCCAAUUCUGACCUUCCUUGAUUUUUUCCAUCCCAAGAGCCUCAGCUUUGAGGUCAAGAUGGGCCCUGAGCCUGGGACCAUCCGAGGUGGGGCUUGGCAUAGGCCUCAACAGAGAGGGGUUUGGAGAGACUAGGGAGAGCACAGCCGCUGGGGAAACUAGACUUCCAACUGAGGUAUGGAGGCCGGGAAAGGCCAGGACCAGGUUAGGGAGACAGGCUGUGGAUGGGACAGACGGAGAAUGGUGGCUGACAAGGUUGACUCGGAAGGGUUCAGAGCAGGAGAAAGAUCUCUGGAUCCUCUGUAUUCCUACAAAUGUUAGGAAAGGGUCUGGUACGCCCUCACAUUCUCUCUCAGGAGAAAGAUGAGUAGGGCUAGGGGCAGGGCCAGCCCUUCCCGUCUGUCCGGCAAGGAGGUGGGUGCCUGUGAGGCAUGACACGUGGGCCUCAGGAGGGCCCGGAGCCUUCUCCAGGAGUCAGGUGCCUGGAGGUUCCACCACCAGGGCCAGGCCUUGGGAACUUGGCAUUGCCUUUUCCCCGAAUGUGUUUUGUUUUGUUUUCAAGCUGCUCUUGCAAGAAGGGGAGGGCAGAUGACUUGGCUGCUUGUGGAGAUUGCUGACAGCAUCUGACGUCUGGAGGAAGAAUUUCUUUGCAGGAAGGCCGAGGCCUGGGAGCCCCUGGGGGAACUGACCGGUCCACUGACUGAGUUCAGCCACCCCGCUCGGCCCAGGAGGUUCUGAGGGGCCCACUUCUUAAGUGGCUUCUCCUCAGUCUCAAGGCCUGUCCAUCGCGGAUGGCCAAGGACUGGUUCCAGCCAGAGAGGCCUCCAGAGUCCCAAGACCCUGGUGCUCAGCCUGAGGGGCCAGGAGGCCUGCCUGGCCUCUGCCAUCCCGUCCCCUGCCUUGGUGCCUGGGCUCAGCCCAAGUGCUGAGUUGGCGGCUCCGCAGCUGCUCUUCUGCCCACGGAGGCCCAGUUAUAAAUAAGCCCAGUGUUGGCCAAGUCAUCAAGUUCUACCCCAGCUGUAUUACCUCAGUGACCACAGGUUGGGGCUGCCCAGAACUGGGCCCGCCAGAACCUGCCCAUCAAGGCCAAAGGCCAGGCCAGCCUCGAUUCCCACAGUGGGGGUCCUCAAACCCAGGGCGGGAGUCUGUGCAGCUCGCUGCUCAGACCUGGACCUGCCUGGACACAGGCCACAGAAGGGGCAGGGCCCAUCCCGCCCGCACGGAGCCAGCAGCUAUUUACAAACCGAAACCGGGAGAAGCGAAG